GGGGCCAUAGCUCAGCUGGGAGAGCACCUGCUUUGCAAGCAGGGGGUCGCCGGUUCGAGCCCGGCUGGCUCCA
rnacentral:tRNA from 1 species